rnacentral:rRNA from 1 species
UACAGAGGGUGCGAGCGUUGUUCGGAAUUAUUGGGCGUAAAGGGCGCGUAGGCGGUGCGGUAAGUCACCUGUGAAAUCUCCUGGCUCAACUGGGAGCUUGCAGGCGAAACUGCCGUGCUGGAGUGUGGGAGAGGGGGGGUGGAAUUCCGGGUGUAGCAGUGAAAUGCGUAGAUAUGCGGAGGAACACCGAUGGCGAAGGCAAUCCCCUGGGCCUGCACUGACGCUCAUGCACGAAAGCGUGGGGAGCAAACAGG